GCGCACCAGGCGCGAAACCUCCGCAAUGCGGGAAACCGCGACGGGGGACCCCGAGUGCCGUGGCAACGCCACGGCUUUUCCGGAGUGUAAAAAGCUCCGGGAAUAAGGGCUGGGCAAGGCCGGUGGCAGCCGCCGCGGUAAUACCGGCGGCCCGAGUGGUGGCCGCUAUUAUUGGGCCUAAAGCGUCCGUAGCCGGGCCCGUAAGUCCCUGGCGAAAUCCCACGGCUCAACCGUGGGGCUUGCUGGGGAUACUGCGGGUCUUGGGACUGGGAGAGGCGGGGGGUACCCCUGGGGUAGGGGUGAAAUCCUAUAAUCCCCAGGGGGACCGCCAGUGGCGAAGGCGCCCCGCUGGAACGGGUCCGACGGUGAGGGACGAAGG
rnacentral:rRNA from 1 species